UACGUAGGGUCCAAGCGUUAUCCGGAAUCAUUGGGCGUAAAGAGCUCGUAGGCGGUUCAGCAAGUCGGCUGUGAAAGUCCGAGGCUCAACCUCGGAAUUGCAGUCGAUACUGCUGUGACUCGAGUCCGGUAGAGGAGAGUGGAAUUCCCGGUGUAGCGGUGAAAUGCGCAGAUAUCGGGAGGAACACCAGUAGCGAAGGCGGCUCUCUGGGCCGGUACCGACGCUGAGGAGCGAAAGCUAGGGGAGCAAACAGG
rnacentral:misc_RNA from 1 species